rnacentral:rRNA from 1 species
UUUCUCGCAUCGAUGAAGAACGCAGCAAAAUGCGAUAAGUAGUGUGAAUUGCAGAAUUCAGUGAAUCAUCGAAUCUUUGAACGCACAUUGCGCCCCUUGGUAUUCCAUGGGGCAUGCCUGUUCGAGCGUCAUUUGUACCCUCAAGCUCUGCUUGGUGUUGGGUGUUUGUCCACUAUCGUGGACUCGCCUUAAAGUCAUUGGCAGCCAGUGUUUUGGUAUUGAAGCGCAGCACAUUUUGCGCCUCUAGCCUAGAACACUAGCGUCCAGUAAGCCUUUUUCCACUUUUGACCUCGGAUCAGGUAGGGAUACCCGCUGAACUUAAGCAUAUCAAUAAGCGGAGGA